UACAGAGGUCCCAAGCGUUGUUCGGAUUCACUGGGCGUAAAGGGUGCGUAGGCGGUCGGGUAAGUCUGACGUGAAAUCUCCAAGCUCAACUUGGAAAUGGCGUCGGAUACUAUUCGGCUUGAGGAGUGGAGGGGAGACUGGAAUUCUCGGUGUAGCAGUGAAAUGCGUAGAUAUCGAGAGGAACACCAGUGGCGAAGGCGAGUCUCUGGACAGUUCCUGACGCUGAGGCACGAAGGUCAGGGGAGCAAACGGG
rnacentral:rRNA from 1 species